GGCCGCACCCGAUUGGUUCGCUGCGCGCAGCCAAUAGGAGCGGGCGUUGUUGGCUGGCGGCGCGGCGCGGCCCGGUCCGGCCGAGGAUGACACCGGAGCAGGCGCUGCGCUGGAAGGCGCGCUUUGCCGCCAUGUACGCCCUGGGCAGCUGGACCCUCCUGGGCUCCAUCGUCUACUACUACCGCGUGCAACCGCGCGAAGCAGCUCCCGCCGGGGACAGGCAGGGCCCGCCCGAGGCCUCCGCCGCCGCGCCUGCCGGGGCCGGAUCUGCCUCUUGGGAGGCGGCGCUAGAUGAAGAAAGAACACCUCCAAAUGAAACACCAGCAGAUGAAUUUUUCCCGUCAACAAUAACGUAUAAAGAGAAUCCUGUACCUUCUACAACUAGAUGUAUGAUAAUGUGAAAUCAUUCUUUGCAACCAGUGAUGGCCCUGGUCCAGAAGAGUAACUGAUCCUGAAAAUUAGGAAUUUGAUAUGUAUACAAGAGAAAUGGCUUGCUUGGACAUGAAAAGUCUUUAGUUGAAGAGCAGGUUUUAUUCUGUUUCAAUUAAAAAAAAACCACACUCUCUCUCUCUCUCUCUCUCUCUCCCCUCUCCCCCACAAAAAACAACAAAGCCUAGUAAACCUUUUCAACUCUGUUAAAGACAGUGUUUUCCCAAAAACUCUUACCGGGCUGAAAUAUUAAACAAGUUACAAAUUAUUAAACUUCCUAUAAUUAAAUCUG